rnacentral:lncRNA from 1 species
AAUCAAGUAAAUCAAUCACCAAUUCAAAUUUGAACACUGUCAUACUCCAAAAUUCACCCUACCCCGAUACAAUUUUCAUCUGAUCCAUGACCCUACUGCACAUGCAUACAUUCAUUAUUUCAAAAAAAAUAUAUAAAAAAAAACUCGGUAACCGGUUACCCUAAUUAAGGUAACCGGUUACACCUGCACAGAAAGCAGAAAUGACCCUGUUUUUUACACAAAGGAC